AUGUAUUGAUAAUGCAAAUCAAGCCCUGUAAGUGCACACUGAUACUUCCCAUGAGACUGCCUUCCCCCAUCAAAAAAAAUGGGGGAAAAAGAGAGAAGAAAAACGACUCAAAUACAUGUAGAACAUGAAGGAUAAAAGCAAACCAUUUCAGUUUCAAAUUAUGGAGUGCACUGCAAUUUUUCUGAUUACUUGUUUCAUGUGUAGGUUUACCCCUCCUAAGCGCUUCCAUUCAGCCAGCUGCAUGAGGUCUUCUAGAAAGACUUAUGAUCCGCCUUUAUUAACUGGACCAUCCCCAACAUCGAAGUCUUGGAAACCUUAUAUAUUAGUAUUGCAUUUGAACUCCACUUUCCUUUUGAUGUGUUUUGUGACUGUUGUUGCAUGUGCUCUGUGCAGUUGUCUAUGGCGCCUUCAUCUUA
rnacentral:misc_RNA from 1 species